AACGAACGCUGGCGGCAGGCUUAACACAUGCAGGUCGAGCGCCCCGCAAGGGGAGCGGCAGACGGGUGAGUAACGCGUGGGAACGUACCUUUUGGUUCGGAACAACUCCGGGAAACUGGAGCUAAUACCGGAUAAGCCCUAACGGGGAAAGAUUUAUCGCCGAAAGAUCGGCCCGCGUCUGAUUAGCUAGUUGGUGAGGUAACGGCUCACCAAGGCGACGAUCAGUAGCUGGUCUGAGAGGAUGAUCAGCCACACUGGGACUGAGACACGGCCCAGACUCCUACGGGAGGCAGCAGUGGGGAAUAUUGGACAAUGGGCGCAAGCCUGAUCCAGCCAUGCCGCGUGAGUGAUGAAGGCCUUAGGGUUGUAAAGCUCUUUUGUCCGGGAAGAUAAUGACUGUACCGGAAGAAUAAGCCCCGGCUAACUUCGU
rnacentral:rRNA from 1 species